GACGAACGCUGGCGGCGUGCCUAAUACAUGCAAGUCGAGCGAAUGACGAGAAGCUUGCUUCUCUGAUUUAGCGGCGGACGGGUGAGUAACACGUGGGCAACCUGCCCUACAGAUCGGGAUAACUCAGGGAAACCUGGGCUAAUACCGGAUAAUCCUUCGAAUCACAUGUUUUGAAGUUGAAAGGCGCUUCGGCGUCACUGUAGGAUGGGCCCGCGGUGCAUUAGCUAGUUGGUGGGGUAACGGCCUACCAAGGCAACGAUGCAUAGCCGACCUGAGAGGGUGAUCGGCCACAUUGGGACUGAGACACGGCCCAAACUCCUACGGGAGGCAGCAGUAGGGAAUCUUCCACAAUGGACGAAAGUCUGAUGGAGCAACGCCGCGUGAGUGAUGAAGGUUUUCGGAUCGUAAAACUCUGUUGUAAGGGAAGAACAAGUACGUUAGGAAAUGAACGUACCUUGACGGUACCUUACGAGAAAGCCACGGCUAACUACGAGCCAGCCGCCGCAGUAA
rnacentral:rRNA from 1 species